ensembl:rRNA 5S_rRNA 5S ribosomal RNA
GUCUACCGCCAUACCACCUUGGACACAUUUGAUCCCCUCUGAUCUUAGCAGAGGCCGACCCCUGAAGCUAAGCAGGGGUGGGCCUAAUUAGUACUUGGGUGAGAGAGAAAGAGGUGAGAGAGUGGCAAGGGAGAGU